rnacentral:rRNA from 1 species
ACCCUUUAAUGUUUGAUGUUCUAACGUGGACCCGUAAUCCGGGUUGCGGACAGUGUCUGGUGGGUAGUUUGACUGGGGCGGUCUCCUCCUAAAGAGUAACGGAGGAGCACGAAGGUUGGCUAAUCCUGGUCGGACAUCAGGAGGUUAGUGCAAUGGCAUAAGCCAGCUUGACUGCGAGCGUGACGGCGCGAGCAGGUGCGAAAGCAGGUCAUAGUGAUCCGGUGGUUCUGAAUGGAAGGGCCAUCGCUCAACGGAUAAAAGGUACUCCGGGGAUAACAGGCUGAUACCGCCCAAGAGUUCAUAUCGACGGCGGUGUUUGGCACCUCGAUGUCGGCUCAUCACAUCCUGGGGCUGAAGUAGGUCCCAAGGGUAUGGCUGUUCGCCAUUUAAAGUGGUACGCGAGCUGGGUUUAGAACGUCGUGAGACAGUUCGGUCCCUAUCUGCCGUGGGCGCUGGAGAACUGAGGGGGGCUGCUCCUAGUACGAGAGGACCGGAGUGGACGCAUCACUGGUGUUCGGGUUGUCAUGCCAAUGGCACUGCCCGGUAGCUAAAUGCGGAAGAGAUAAGUGCUGAAAGCAUCUAAGCACGAAACUUGCCCCGAGAUGAGUUCUCCCUGAGACUUUAGGUCUCCUGAAGGAACGUUGAAGACGACGACGUUGAUAGGCCGGGUGUGUAAGCGCAGCGAUGCGUUGAGCUAACCGGUACUAAUGAACCGU